GGCACAGCUGGCGAGCCACUGACAGACUUGCCAGAAACAGACAGGAGUGGAGGAGCUUUGUCCCUGUCCUAAACGCCAGAGGCAUAAUGGGGACAUGAUGAGGUUGAUGAAAUUAAUAACAAU